GACAGAGGUCUCAAGCGUUGUUCGGAUUCAUUGGGCGUAAAGGGUGCGUAGGUGGCGCCGUAAGUCGGGUGUGAAAUUUCGGAGCUUAACUCCGAAACUGCAUUCGAUACUGCGGUGCUUGAGGACUGGAGAGGAGACUGGAAUUCAUGGUGUAGCAGUGAAAUGCGUAGAGAUCAUGAGGAAGACCAGUGGCGAAGGCGGGUCUCUGGACAGUUCCUGACACUGAGGCACGAAGGCCAGGGGAGCAAACGGG
rnacentral:rRNA from 1 species